rnacentral:rRNA from 1 species
UACGUAGGGUGCGAGCGUUAAUCGGAAUUACUGGGCGUAAAGCGUGCGCAGGCGGUUUUGUAAGUCUGAUGUGAAAUCCCCGGGCUCAACCUGGGAAUUGCAUUGGAGACUGCAAGGCUAGAAUCUGGCAGAGGGGGGUAGAAUUCCACGUGUAGCAGUGAAAUGCGUAGAGAUGUGGAGGAACACCGAUGGCGAAGGCAGCCCCCCUGGGUCAAGAUUGACGCUCAUGCACGAAAGCGUGGGGAGCAAACAGG